rnacentral:rRNA from 1 species
AAAAGAAACUAACAAGGAUUCCCCUAGUAACGGCGAGUGAAGUGGGAAAAGCUCAACUUUGAAAUCUGGCUGCUUUGCAGUCCGAGUUGUAGUUUCGAGAAAUGUUUUCCGCGUCAAUCCAUGUAUGAGUCUGUUGGAACACAGCGUCAUAGAGGGUGAGAACCCCGUUCAUGACAUGGCUUUUGAUGCUUUGUGAUACAUUUUCGACGAGUCGAGUUGUUUGGGAAUGCAGCUCAAAUUGGGUGGUAAAUUCCAUCUAAAGCUAAAUAUUGGCGAGAGACCGAUAGCAAACAAGUACCGUGAGGGAAAGAUGAAAAGCACUUUGGAAAGAGAGUUAAAAGUACGUGAAAUUGUCGAAAGGGAAACGAUUGAAGUCAGACGUGCAUGGUAUUUAUUACCUUUGCAGGCCAACAUCGGUUUUGCGAGUCGGAUAAAGGUAGAGAGAAGGUAGCAGUUUCGGCUGUGUUAUAGCUCUCUACUGAAUACGAAAUGUGAGACCGAGGGACGCAGUGCGCCGCAAGGCAAAGGGCCCGCUCUUUACGCACUUAGGAUGUUGGUGAAAUGGCUUUAAACGACCCGUC